GCGGGUGUGGCGAAAUUGGCAGACGCACUGGAUUUAGGUUCCAGCGCCGCAAGGCGUGGGGGUUCAAGUCCCUCCACCCGCACCA
rnacentral:tRNA from 5 species